GACGAACGCUGGCGGCGUGCCUAACACAUGCAAGUCAACUUGACUGAAGGAGCAAUCUGACAGUAGAGUGGCGCAAGGGUGCGUAACGCGUAAGUAACUUGCCCCAAGGUAAGGAAUAACGUCGAGAAAUCGGCGCUAAUACCUCAUAAUGCAGCGGAUCCGCAUGGAUAUGUUGUUAAAGGUUUACCGCCUUGGGAUAGGCUUGCGUCUGAUUAGUUAGUUGGUGUGGUAACGGCACACCAAGGCUACGAUCAGUAACUGGUCUGAGAGGAUGAUCAGUCACACUGGAACUGAGACACGGUCCAGACUCCUACGGGAGGCAGCAGUGAGGAAUAUUGGGCAAUGCUCGAAAGAGUGACCCAGCAACGCCGCGUGGAGGAUGAAGGUAUUCUAUAUCGUAAACUCCUGUGAGAGCAGACGAAAGACAGAUUAUUAAUCUGGAUGACUGUAUGCUCAGAGGAAG
rnacentral:rRNA from 1 species